rnacentral:rRNA from 1 species
CCGUAGCCCAAGAGAUCGGGAUAACACCUGGAAACAGAUGCUAAUACCGGAUAACAACAGAUGAUGCCUAUCAACUGUUUAAAAGAUGGUUCUGCCAUCACUCUUGGAUGGACCUGCGGUGCAUUAGCUAGUUGGUAGGGUAACGGCCUACCAAGGCGAUGAUGCAUAGCCGAGUUGAGAGACUGAUCGGCCACAUUGGGACUGAGACACGGCCCAAACUCCUACGGGAGGCAGCAGCG